rnacentral:rRNA from 1 species
AGCGAACGCUAGCGGCGGGCCUAACACAUGCAAGUCGAGCGCGUACCUUCGGGUACGAGCGGCGGACGGGUGAGUAACACGUAGGUCAUCUACCCUUUGGUGGGGGAUAACCCAGGGAAACUUGGGCUAAUACCGCACGAGGUCUACGGAUCAAAGCCUUCGGGCGCCAGAGGAUGAGCCUGCGUCGCAUUACCUAGUUGGUAGGGUAAUGGCCUACCAAGGGGACGAUGCGUAGCUGGUCUGAGAGGAUGAUCAGCCACACUGGGACUGAGACACGGCCCAGACUCCUACGGGAGGCAGCAGUGGGAAUAUUGCGCAAUGGGGGAAACCCUGACGCAGCCACGCCGCGUGGGUGAUGAAGGCCUCGGUGUAAGCCUGUUCGGGAGGGACGAAGUUACAUGACGGUACC